AUGUGGACUUUCCCUAAUUUGCAUAGGACAGAACGUUUCCUGAGCAAACCGAAAGCAGGUGUGUCGCUGUUUACUGCUUUACAGGAAGAGACAGGCUCACGACAGAUAUCGCAAUCUGAAUUCAGGAAUACAGGAAAAGCAAUGGACUCAUUUCCAGACUGCUGUCCACAUCUUAGUAUGCCUGUAGAGACUGAUGAGUCUAUGACCUUGUCCUCUCUCAAUCUGGCCUGGCCUGCAUGCCAGCAGUGCCAAUCACAUACCCUUAAAGACACAGGAAAAAGUGGUAGAUUCAUCCCUGAGAUGCGUGUUUGUGAUGUAAGUAGAUUGGAUAAGUUUGAUGGCUGCUAUCAGCUUCCUCCUAAAGAUUUAAGGGUCAGCCCCCUCACCAGACUUUCCAUGAGUGAUUCACAACACACAGAGAGCGCUGCAGGCUUGCCCAGUCUCUACUUGCCUCGAAGUUCAGGAAGACACCUUCAGAAAGACUAUAGAGCCCACAUAGAAGAUCUGAGUGAAGAUUUCUCAGGCACCAGUCUUCAAAAUCCCUGCAGUUCCCCACAUCCACACACCCAAAACCCUGUGAGUGAGGAUGAGGAGAGUCUAGAAAAGCCUAGUCCUCUUCGCUCUGACCUGAGAGAGGAUUUCUGCAGAUAUUCCCCAGCAAAGCAGCCAGGAUUUUAUGAUGAGUACCCACCAGAUCUUUUAUAUCACUGGCAUAAGCAGUCUGCAAAUUAUCCACAGCCCAACUAUCUCCUGAAUCCUUUCCUACCUGAGCAUGCAAGGUAUAAGUGUGAGUUGUGAGGCCCCCUCAAGUUACAUCCCGUCAGAGCACAGCCCCUGUUAGAGAGCUUAUGUCAGAAGUGUGUGUCCAGCCUUCCCAACAAGGUGUCGGCCACCCUCAAACACUGAGGCGCAACAUCAGUCUUCCUGAUGACUGCAGAGACAUUUUCAUAACAUAUUCCGUGGACACUGCAGCAGAGUUGAUGCCCUUUGUGAAUUUUUUGAUUAAUCAGGGAUUCAGACCAGCUAUUGAUAUAUUUGAAGACAGAGUUAGACAAAUGGACAUCAACAAAUGGAUGGACAGUUUUUUAAAAAAUAAGUCUGUGUUAAUCAUUGUAGUGAUCAGUCCAAAGUAUAAGACCGAUGUUGAGGGAGAUGGAUCUGAUCAACAUGGACUACACACCAAGUACAUACACACUCAGAUCCAAAAUGAAUUCAUUCUGCAGAGAUGUCUAAACUUCAGAUUGGUACCAGUGCUGUUUCCCAGUGCUAACCAAAGUCAUGUUCCACUGUGGCUACAGAGCACGCGUCUGUACCGGUGGCCCGAGGAUGCUAAGGACCUGUUACUGCGCUUACUCAGAGAGGAAAAAUACAUCGUCCCUCCUCUGGGCAAAGAGCUGAUGCUCACUAUCAAACCCCUGUAAAACUGAAUCUUAUGACAUCAUGUCUAGAUCGCAUUUCAUCUCCAGAUCAAAAGAAAAGAUAAAAUUGUAUUUUGCUUAAAGAAAAUUUUAUUUUAAGUCUAUUUUUAAGUCUGUUAUAGGAUCAUUAUUUUGUUUUAUUUUAUUUUAUUUUUUUAAUGAAAAGUGUGAACAUUGUCCACCCAAAAAUUUUAAACAAUCUUAUUAUUCUCAAUAGUGAUUCUCAUAACUGCAUUUUUUCAGUUUCUUUCAGUUGAUUUUGGGAUAAAGGUAACCACAACAUAGUUUGUUAGAUUAACCCAUAAACCCACUGCAUUAAUGCUCUAGAAACACUUCACAGGCACUGCAGGUAAUACUUAUAAACUGUUUUGGAGCUGCAAAUACUGUAAUUGGAGCUGUAAAAAUAAAUAAAUAAAUAAAUAAAUCUCA
ensembl:lncRNA